rnacentral:rRNA from 1 species
CAGUCGCCACGGUAAUACGUAGGUCCCGAGCGUUGUCCGGAUUUAUUGGGCGUAAAGCGAGCGCAGGCGGUUAGAUAAGUCUGAAGUUAAAGGCUGUGGCUUAACCAUAGUACGCUUUGGAAACUGUUUAACUUGAGUGCAAGAGGGGAGAGUGGAAUUCCAUGUGUAGCGGUGAAAUGCGUAGAUAUAUGGAGGAACACCGGUGGCGAAAGCGGCUCUCUGGCUUGUAACUGACGCUGAGGCUCGAAAGCGUGGGGAGCAACCAGGAUUAGAUACCCCUGUAGUCCCUGUCUCUUAUACA